rnacentral:lncRNA from 1 species
ACACAGCUGCCACAGGUUAAACCAGGGACUAGAACUGCAUCUCUAAAUAGUAUUCAUUUGUAUAAUGUUAACGAGUUCAGAUAGCUACAUGAAACAAUUGUAUAUGUAGUUAUCACCAGCAGGCUAGUUUGAAGCUAGUGGCCGGAAAGAUAUUUUGCAACAAGCGGUGAAUUCUACCGACCCGAGCGAUGACUAGUUUUCAACUUUCUAAAUAUUUUACAUGCAUCAUUUCACAACCGUACUCACCUUAAGAGUGUUUGUGGACCACUAGGUGGCGACGAAGUCAAGACGAAGAGCAGGGGGCUUUUCUUCUUCGUGGGAAUUUUCUGCCGCUUCUUCUUCUUCGUUGCUAUUAUGGCGGUCCGCAAACAAAUAUUGGCACUUUGUAUCCCCAGCUGCAUUGGCAACCCCACAGUGCUUUCUCUAUCCCAGCUUUACACUCCUAUCCUGCACAGUUCUCACAUCUUGGGAUCUCCCUUCUUCACACUGCUGCAACACCUCUGAAUCCUUGGCACCUAAAGCACCGUAACGGGUUUGGAACAUACUGUAGGCCCUCACAGAAUAGCAACUAUAACCUUACGUCACCUUAUCCAACCUGGACUUAAGGGGUAAACGUAACAUAGUAAAUGUAACUACAGGACGUUCCAAUUAGUGUGACAUGUUUAAGUUUCGCAUGGUAUGUAUUAACUUGUGGAUGUACAUUUUACAUUUCGACUGAUAUGUUAUGAAUCACAAUUCGUACGAUAUGUUACAAAUUGCAAUUCAUAUAAUGUGUUAAAAAUGUGCAAAAAACAUAUAUGUAACGAAUUCCUAUUUUUUGUAACUAAUGUUAUAUAGGUGGCUAGGUAGCUAAUCAUUAAUGUUAGCUUGGUGGCUAAGGUUAGAUAAGCUAGGGGAUUAGGG